UAAAUUAUGUAAAUAGACGUCAAGAUUUGAAAAUCAUAAAGCGAUUAAACCAUUUGUUACAUAUAAAGUGCGUAAAAUAUGACUGAAAUUCUCAAGUUUGUUUGUAUUAUGAUUAUAUUCCUCUCCUCAUUUAUUGUUUCACAAAAUAUUGACGGUAACACGGGUGGUAAUAGAAAAUGUUUUAGAGAUUCUGAUUGUCCAAAAUUUAUGUGCCCAUCUUAUUUGGCCGUGAAGUGUAUCGGAAGACUUUGUAGGUGUGGUAGACCGGAGUUGCAAGUAGAACUUAAUCCCAAAUGAUUUUGUAUUUAGUGAAAGAACCAAGAGAGUAAACAAAAGUUUUAGAAUAUUACAUAAUCUAUAUCAUGUAUUCAUUUUGUUGGCAUCCAAUAAUUAAAUUUUUAUCGUUAUAAUUUCAA